rnacentral:rRNA from 1 species
GAUGAACGCUGGCGGCGUGCCUAAUACGUGCAAGUCGAGCGAACAGACGAGGAGCUUGCUCCUCUGACGUUAGCGGCGGACGGGUGAGUAACACGUGGAUAACCUACCUAUAAGACUGGGAUAACUUCGGGAAACCGGAGCUAAUACCGGAUAAUAUAUUGGACCGCAUGGUUCAAUAGUGAAAGACGGUUUUGCUGUCACUUAUAGAUGGAUCCGCGCCGCAUUAGCUAGUUGGUAAGGUAACGGCUUACCAAGGCAACGAUGCGUAGCCGACCUGAGAGGGUGAUCGGCCACACUGGAACUGAGACACGGUCCAGACUCCUACGGGAGGCAGCAGUAGGGAAUCUUCCGCAAUGGGCGAAAGCCUGACGGAGCAACGCCGCGUGAGUGAUGAAGGUCUUCGGAUCGUAAAACUCUGUUAUUAGGGAAGAACAAAUGUGUAAGUAACUAUGCACGUCUUGACGGUACCUAAUCAGAAAGCCACGGCUAACUACGUG